rnacentral:rRNA from 1 species
UCCUCCCUCUGUCGGCGUGCCUAAUACAUGCAAGUAGAACGCUGAAGGAGGAGCUUGCUCUUCUGGAUGAGUUGCGAACGGGUGAGUAACGCGUAGGUAACCUGCCUGGUAGCGGGGGAUAACUAUUGGAAACGAUAGCUAAUACCGCAUAACAGUAGAUGUUGCAUGACAUUUGCUUAAAAGGUGCAAUUGCACCACUACCAGAUGGACCUGCGUUGUAUUAGCUAGUUGGUGGGGUAACGGCUCACCAAGGCGACGAUACAUAGCCGACCUGAGAGGGUGAUCGGCCACACUGGGACUGAGACACGGCCCAGACUCCUACGGGAGGCAGCAGUAGGGAAUCUUCGGCAAUGGACGGAAGUCUGACCGAGCAACGCCGCGUGAGUGAAGAAGGUUUUCGGAUCGUAAAGCUCUGUUGUAAGAGAAGAACGAGUGUGAGAGUGGAAAGUUCACACUGUGACGGUAUCUUACCAGAAAGGGACGGCUAACUACGUG